CAGAAGGUUUUUUUUUUUUUUUUUUUGUUUUGCCCACGAAGGAGCAGUUUUUGUCCCCGAGACGGAGGAAACAUUCCGUUUUACCUGACGUGAAGGCAGACUACCUCCGUCUCGGGGACAAAAACUGCUCCUUCGUGGGCAAAACAAAACUCUUCAAUGA